rnacentral:rRNA from 1 species
UACGUAGGGGGCGAGCGUUGUCCGGAUUUAUUGGGUGUAAAGGGUGCGUAGACGGGAAGAUAAGUUAGUUGUGAAAUCCCCAGGCUUAACUUGGGAACUGCAACUAAAACUGUCUUUCUUGAGUGCUGGAGAGGAAAGCGGAAUUCCUAGUGUAGCGGUGAAAUGCGUAGGUGUUAGGAGGAACACCAGUGGCGAAGGCGGCUUUCUGGACAGUAACUGACGUUGAGGCACGAAAGUGUGGGGAGCAAAC